UACGUAGGGUGCGAGCGUUGUCCGGAAUUAUUGGGCGUAAAGAGCUCGUAGGCGGCUUGUCGCGUCGGAUGUGAAAACCUGCGGCUCAACCGUGUGGUCUGCAGUCGAUACGGGCAGGCUGGAGUUCGGUAGGGGAGACUGGAAUUCCUGGUGUAGCGGUGAAAUGCGCAGAUAUCAGGAGGAACACCAGUGGCGAAGGCGACUUCCUGGCCUGUUCUUGACGCUGAGGCGCGAAAGCUAGGGGAGCAAACGGG
rnacentral:rRNA from 1 species